rnacentral:rRNA from 1 species
AGCGAACGCUGGCGGCAGGCUUAACACAUGCAAGUCGAGCGGGCACUUCGGUGUCAGCGGCAGACGGGUGAGUAACACGUGGGAACGUACCCUUCGGUUCGGAAUAACGCUGGGAAACUAGCGCUAAUACCGGAUACGCCCUUUUGGGGAAAGGUUUACUGCCGAAGGAUCGGCCCGCGUCUGAUUAGCUAGUUGGUGGGGUAAUGGCCUACCAAGGCGACGAUCAGUAGCUGGUCUGAGAGGAUGAUCAGCCACACUGGGACUGAGACACGGCCCAGACUCCUACGGGAGGCAGCAGUGGGGAAUAUUGGACAAUGGGCGCAAGCCUGAUCCAGCCAUGCCGCGUGAGUGAUGAAGGCCUUAGGGUUGUAAAGCUCUUUUGUCCGGGGCGAUAAUGACGGUACCGGAAGAAUAAGCCCCGGCUAACUUCGUG